rnacentral:rRNA from 1 species
AUUGAACGCUGGCGGCAUGCCUUACACAUGCCAGUCGAACGGCAGCACGGGUGCUUGCACCUGGUGGCGAGUGGCGAACGGGUGAGUAAUACAUCGGAACAUGUCCUGUAGUGGGGGAUGGCCCGGCGAAAGCCGGAUUAAUACCGCAUACGAUCUACGGAUGAAAGCGGGGGACCUUCGGGCCUCGCGCUAUAGGGUUGGCCGAUGGCUGAUUAGCUAGUUGGUGGGGUAAAGGCCUACCAAGGCGACGAUCAGUAGCUGGUCUGAGAGGACGACCAGCCACACUGGGACUGAGACACGGCCCAGACUCCUACGGGAGGCAGCAGUGGGGAAUUUUGGACAAUGGGCGAAAGCCUGAUCCAGCAAUGCCGCGUGUGUGAAGAAGGCCUUCGGGUUGUAAAGCACUUUUGUCCGGAAAGAAAUCCUUGGCUCUAAUACAGUCGGGGGAUGACGGUACCGGAAGAAUAAGCACCGGCUAACUACGUG